AUUAGCUGUUAGGCUGUCAUUCCCAAAUUAAUCAGUGUCUGAGUAGAUCAGAAAGGUUAUGCUGAACAUUAAGUCACCUCGGUGCUUUUCUUCCCCCUGAAAUGGUGAGCCCCUCAAGGUCUUACCCACUCAGUAGCUCUCCAAUCCUUUUGAAUAGUAUUCUUGUUUUAAUCCAGUGCUUUAUUUUAUCUUGGCAGGAGAACCAACAAAUCUGACACAAAGUAGUGUGGUGGACCACCAAAAAGAUCAAAGCCACUGUACCUCAGGAGCUUGUUUUAGCCUGCCUGUGUGGAGCAACACAGAGCUGUCUCACCCUCCAGUCACCUGGUGUCUACAUUGAGCUCUGAGAGCAGUCAGCGUGGAUGACUUCUACCCAGGACACCUGGCACAUAGCAAGAGAACUUGGCAGGUUCUGUGGCUUCCUCUGCUCUGUCUGAGCUGCUGGAGAGGAAAGUGGUCAGAGUAGAGUCCCACAAAUGAGGAGAUUCCAUUUAAUAUUUUUGGACCACAGUUGGCCAGGAGUAACUAAAACCAAUACAUAAGAGAGGACUCCUGUACUCCUAUUGUAUGAGGUAAGAACUGUUACCAGCCCAUUUUACAGAUAAAGACAACAGGACACAGUAGCUCAGCCAAAGUACAGACAGAAAGUUUCAGAAUCAUAAAGGCAUUCAAACUCAGGCAGCGUGGCUCCAGCACCUUAACCCAUACUCCAGACUAUCCUUAUCACAACAUUUAUUCCAAGUGCUGGAGGUGUCUCUGCCCUUCUUCUGUGUUUUUCCCAGAGGAAAGCAAAGCAGGAAGAAAUGAACCAAGAACCUUUUAAUUGUUCAGCUAAUAUCAUCCACCAGGUGGCAGUCACAGCUCCUAGAUAAAAUCCAGCUACAUUGUGUAGCUCCCCACCCACUUCCCUCCUGUGAGAAACUUGAUUUUUAUUAUUACCAAGAGGUGAGCAGCCUAGAUUCAAAGCACAACUCUCUGACUGAGCUUCUUGAAAAUGGCACUUGGAGAAUGUGCUUGUCCCAUUUGCAUACAUACACUAUGGGGCUAGUGGCCCAGGCCACCGGGCACAAGAGUGGGUGGACAGCCAGGGUUCCCUUGGAUAGUGCACCACACAGAAUGCAGGAUCCACUGUGUAAGAUGUAAUGCCAGUCCAUAGAAAAGAUGAUUUCCUCCUCCCUCCCCAACUUCUCCUCAAGCAGCUGCUAGAGCUGCAGGGAAAACGAAAGCAUACUUAUUCCUAGUCACGACUCCAUUUGGCCAGUGGCAGGCAUGGGGACAUAGGGUUCCCUGAGGAAACAUCCUCAUAUGACUGUCAGAGAAGGGCCUUCCCGCAUCAUCUGUGUUUGAAAUGCUUUUCCUUGGCCUUCCGCUACUGCCACACAUUCUGGCCACUGCUUCUGUGUUCCUGGGCCUGAAAGAAGUAUGAUUCCAAGUGGGGGCUGGGGGUCCUUGCUCAUAAGCUACCCCGCCAUUCACAAAGCUAAAACCCAAGAGGGAAAGUGGCCCAGUUCCAUG